rnacentral:tRNA from 1 species
GGGGCAUUAGCUCAGUUGGUAGAGCGCUUCCAUGGCAUGGAAGAGGUCAGCGGUUCGAAUCCGCUAUGCUCCACCA